rnacentral:rRNA from 1 species
GUGCCAGCCGCCGCGGUAAUACGUAGGGGGCUAGCGUUGUCCGGAUUCAUUGGGCGUAAAGCGCACGCAGGCGGCUUGGUAAGUCAUCGGUGAAAUCCCUCGGCUCAACCGGGGGGGGUCCGGCGAAACUGCCAGGCUUGAGGUCGGGAGGGGGAAGCGGAAUUCCGGGUGUAGUGGUGGAAUGCGUAGAUAUCCGGAGGAACACCAGUGGCGAAGGCGGCUUCCUGGCCCGAAUCUGACGCUGAGGUGCGAAAGCGUGGGGAGCGAUCCGGAUUAGAUACCCGAGUAGUCC